ensembl:lncRNA
GAGGGAUGGAAGGAGAGAGAGAUGGACUACAAACUGGGACAGGUAGGAUGGAGGGAUGGAAGGAGAGAGAGAUGGACUACAAACUGGGACAGGUAGGAUGGAGGGAUGGAAGGAGAGAGAGAUGGACUACAAACUGGGACAGGUAGGAUGGAGGGAUGGAAGGAGAGAGGGGGCGGAGGAAAGGGAAGACAGACCAAAUGGCAUAGUUGUGUCCUUCUCUUGCAGAUAUGUUCAGUCUCUCUCUCUCUCUCUCUAAUUCCUCUCCUUUAUUGUCUCUCUCUCUCUAAUUCCUCUCCUUUAUUGUCUCUCUCUCUAAUUCCUCUCCUUUAUUGUCUCUCUCUCUAAUUCCUCUCCUUUAUUGUCUCUCUCUCUCUCUAAUUC